GCAUCGUAGCUCAGCUGGAUGAGUGCUCGGCUACGAACCGAGCGGUCCGGAGGUUCGAAUCCUCCCGGAUGCC
rnacentral:tRNA from 1 species